GUCCCUUCGAGGACAUCCGAUAAAUUGGAAUGAUACUGAGAAAUUUAGCAUGGUCUUGCGUAAAGAUGACAUGUACAAAUCAAGAAAUGGUCUAAAAAUAU